rnacentral:lncRNA from 1 species
UUCAAAUUCAAAUUCAAAAUAUAUCUUAAAAUUUAAAAUUUAAAAUCUAAACCAAAAUUUAUAAUUGAAUAUUUGAGUUUAAAAUCUAAAUACAAAAAUAAAAAAUUUAAUUUUGAAAUUCAAAUUUUAACAUUUAAAUUUUUAAAUCUCAAAUUAAAAUUCAAUUUUUCAAUUAAAUUUUAAAUUUUAAAUUUUAAAUUUUGAUUUUUGAAAUAAAAAAUUUAAAAUUUACUAUCUAAAUUUAAAAUAUAGAAUUUUAAUUUAAAAUUUUAAAAUUUAAAACUUUAAAUUUUAAUUUUUAAAUUUUAAAUUUAAUUUAAAAUUUAACAUUUGUAAUGCGAAAAUUAAAAUUCUAAAUUUUAAAUUUAAACUCAAAAUUAAAUUUAAAAUUUAAUAUUU